UACGUAGGGGGCAAGCGUUGUCCGGAUUUAUUGGGCGUAAAGAGCGUGUAGGCGGCUUUACAGGUCCGUUGUGAAAACUCGAGGCUCAACCUCGAGACGCCGGUGGAAACCGUAAGGCUAGAGUCCGGAAGAGGAGAGUGGAAUUCCUGGUGUAGCGGUGAAAUGCGCAGAUAUCAGGAGGAACACCGGUGGCGAAGGCGGGUCUCUGGGAAGUAACUGACGCUGAGAAGCGAAAGCAUGGGUAGCAAACAGG
rnacentral:rRNA from 1 species